UACGCCUGGGCGUUUUCACAAGGCUUGUCCAGUUGAACUGUACAGGGGAAAAUCCUCGAGCCCGUUCAGAAAAGGGAAUUCACUUUAAAUCCGGAACGGCAAUAGCCUACUACUUGUCAUGAAUAAAAACACAGCGCUGGAACAGACAGACAACUGGCAAAAGUAAAAUUCUCCGCUCAAGGUUUGAAAUGAAGAGGAAGAAUCCACCGACCCGUGCUACCGCAGGUUCUCAGUUGUAAGUGAGUGCGUGAGUGAGGGAAAGGAGGACGAGAAGGAAACUGGGAUUAUCCUGUUAAUGUUUGUUUCCCAUCGGAUCCUGUUUCACUGAGGGACUGGCAGCAUGGAAAAACUGCUGUACAAUCAUCAAACUGCUAGAAUUAUACACCCUGAGGAAAGAUGCUGCUGCCAGUGGCUGCGCAUCUCGCUACGGUCGGACAGGCAGACACAGACGGACAGCAGACUGGUGGACCUUAGCCAACCACACACACAGAGAUCGGUUUUAUUCAGCUGUGGCUGUGUCUCCCCUUCAUCGCUGUCACUACCGUCGAGCUGCAAGGUUCCGCAACCAGCCUCUCCAGGCACACCAACCCCAGCGAAGAGCUCUUAUGGUGGGACUGUACCAACGUGGGCUUCAGGCUGCCCGAACCGCCGUCGACUCUCUGUGUGUCGGGCUGAUUCAUCUUUUAGCCGUCCUGUAUGUGGCAUAGAGGUCUGGUGCUGUGGUCCUCUUUGCCACAGAGGAGCAGCUCCUGCAAGUCCAAGAUGAGGAGGUCGGGCUGUGAGGAGGAGAUCAUCGGGCCCAAGGGGUGCUUUUUCUUCUUCGAAACAUCGACACCGAUUCCUCUCCUUUUUCUCGUCUGGGUUUUUAGUGCUGAGUUGAGGGCUUAGGAUGGGUUUGGAUUUCGCUUGAAAUUGUUUCCACAGUAUAUUUUGGUGGGACGUGGAGGCUUCAUCAUUGUUCUUUUCUCUUCUCUCCACCCCCCCUUCUCUCUCUCUCUGUGUAGUGUGUGCUGCUGCUAUCGUGGGGGCAGCAAACCUGAUGAACUUCCACGCCUGAUGAACGUGCUUCCUUUGAAGUCCGACCCCCUAAACUCUUGUUAGAUGUUUUCUGUAUUGUUGACCAUUGGAUUGAGUGAAUAUAUUGCUUUAUACAAAAGUAGGCUCCUGUGUAGUGAACGAAUGGCACUCACUUUGCAAAGGGGGUUUGCAUUUUGACCAGAUGUUCCAAAACAAGUCCAUCCAACAGCCAACAGGUGGCCAAUAGAUUGCUGCCUGUACCUGUGUUGUGCCGAACACGAACAACCCCCCCCCCUCAAUUCUUUAUUACUGCUACUUGCUUGCUAGCUGAGAUUUCUUAUCACGUUUUAUGUUGGUUUGAUCGUGGGGGAGGCACUAGUAAUGUCUGCAGUUUUUGGUGUAUUAGUCUAUAAAUAAAUCUCUUUGCCAAAAUUAAUUAAAGUCCCGAGAUAGAAUGGC